GGUUGUGGAUCAGUGGUAGAGCACUUGCCUAGCAUGCAUGAGAUACUGGGUUUGAUCCCAGGAACCA
rnacentral:tRNA from 1 species